AUCCUGGCUCAGAUUGAACGCUGGCGGCAUGCCUUACACAUGCAAGUCGAACGGCAGCGGACCUUCGGGUGCCGGCGAGUGGCGAACGGGUGAGUAAUAUAUCGGAACGUACCUUCAGGUGGGGGAUAACGUAGCGAAAGUUACGCUAAUACCGCAUAUUCUGUGAGCAGGAAAGCAGGGGAUCGCAAGACCUUGCGCUGAUUGAGCGGCCGAUAUCAGAUUAGCUAGUUGGUGAGGUAAAGGCCCACCAAGGCGACGAUCUGUAGCGGGUCUGAGAGGAUGAUCCGCCACACUGGAACUGAGACACGGUCCAGACUCCUACGGGAGGCAGCAGUGGGGAAUUUUGGACAAUGGGCGCAAGCCUGAUCCAGCCAUGCCGCGUGAGUGAAGAAGGCCUUCGGGUUGUAAAGCUCUUUCAGCCGGGAAGAAAACGCAUGGGUUAAUACCCUGUGUGGAUGACGGUACCGGAAUAAGAAGCACCGGCUAACUACGUG
rnacentral:rRNA from 1 species